rnacentral:tRNA from 1 species
GCCGGGAUAGCUCAGUGGUAGAGCAACGCUUUUGUAAAGCGAAGGUCGUGGGUCCGAAUCCCUCUCCCGGCU